rnacentral:rRNA from 1 species
UACGGGGGGGGCAAGCGUUGUUCGGAAUUACUGGGCGUAAAGGGCGCGUAGGCGGCCUUCUAAGUCGGACGUGAAAUCCCUUGGCUUAACCGAGGAACUGCGUCCGAUACUGAAAGGCUUGAAUCCGGGAGAGGGAUGUGGAAUUCCAGGUGUAGCGGUGAAAUGCGUAGAUAUCUGGAGGAACACCGGUGGCGAAGGCGGCAUCCUGGACCGGUAUUGACGCUGAGGCGCGAAAGCUAGGGGAGCAAACGGG